ensembl:lncRNA
GGGAGGUUCCCGGGGCGGUUCCCGGGGCGGUGCCGGUGCCGCCAUGGCCGCGGUGCCGCUGCGGGGCCGGCGUGCGGCGCUCGGGCCGGGAGCAGCCGGGGAGCCGGAAUGCAAGCGGCUGUGCAGGCUGCUGGACACCAUCCCAGGCCAGGCUGCUGCCCAGCUCAGGGACUGUGCCAUGGACCUGGAUCCCAGGCACAAACUCCUCCCCGACUCUGCUCCCUGGGCUGCAAAGGCAAAGCAGAAUUCUGUGGUUUUGGAAAACCAUGGCAGCAAAGGCAUUUCCCAGCCCUGCCCAAGAUGUGUUGCUGGAGAAUCUGGCCACUUCAGUCACAUCCUGGGCUCCUAGAACAGCAGAGGAGCAGCUCUGGUUUCUGCUCGUGGCUCCUGCCCUGCCUCAGCACCCUGCCCUGGGCACCGUCCCUGCACUGCACCCCUGCCCAAAACCCUCUGCUCCUCAGGGAGCUCAGAAUUGUCCAAAAAGGACAAGGAAAGGAUUAUUUCAUGUUUAGGUAACUCAGAAUUUGUCCAAAAAGGACAAUGAAAAGGAUUAUUUCAUGUUUAGGUAACUCAGAAUUUGUCUAAAAAGGAAAAGGAAAGGCAGAUUUCAUGUUUAGGUAACUCAGAAUUUGUUUUAAAAGAACAAAAAAUGGCUGAUUUCAUAUUUAGCUCAGAAUUUGUUUUAAAAGGAAAGGCAGAUUUCAUGUUUUUGGAAUUUGUCUAAAGAGGACAAGAAAAGCCAGAUUUCAGUUUUAGCUCAGUAUUUGUUCAUAAAGGACAAGGAAAAGCUGAUUUCAUGUUUAGCUCAGAAUUCAUUUUAAAAGGAUAAAAAAAAAGCAAAUUUCAUGUUUAGCUCAGAAUUUGUUGUAAAAAUACAAAAAAAGGCUGAUUUCAUGUUUAGGUAGUUCAGAAUUUGUCUAAAAGGACAAAAAAAGCCAGAUUUCAUAUUUAGCUCAGAAUUUGUACAUAAAGAACAAGGAAAAGCAGAUUUCGUGUUUAGGUAGUGCAGAAUUUGUUUUAAAAGGACAGAAAAUGGCUGAUUUCAUGUUUAGGUGGUGCAGAAUUUGUCUAAAAAGGACAAGAAAGGGCUAAUUUAAUGUUUUCGAUUGAUUAAGUUGAGCUGGCCGUGGGCCCAGGCUUUGCCUGGGGCUGGGCCAGAGCUUGUGUUGAUUCCAAAGGUUUUCCCACCAGCCCUGACCCCCUUGGAAAAGCUCUUUUGGAAAAUCCUCCUUGUGCAGGGCUACAGGCAGCAGUGGGAGGACACAAAUUUUCAUUUUUAAGUGGCUUUGCAGCUGUGAAGUCCAGGGAAAAUCCCAUUGAAGCUUCCCUUUAAAUCCCAAAAAAAUCUGUUUUAAAAGGCUUGACCUCCUCACCCAGCAGGCUUUUGUUGGCACAAAUCUAAGGACAGGUUAAUUAACCUCUGAAAGGUUAAUUUUGGGGUUAUCAGGUUGCAAAAUCCUCAGGCAAAGGUUUUUUGCAGUCCUUGAAUCCUUCCCAUGUUGUGUGUGGAGUUGGAGUCAGCACUGAGUUGAGAUAUUCUCUUUAAAUAAAUGAAUAUCACAUAGUUUAAUUAAGUAAUAC